rnacentral:rRNA from 1 species
CUGGCUCAGGAUGAACGCUGGCGGCGUGCCUAACACAUGCAAGUCGAACGGAAACAGGACGCUUCGGAGACUUCGGUCAAUGUUGUCUUGUUUAGUGGCGGACGGGUGAGUAACGCGUGGAUAACCUGCCUCACACUGGGGGAUAACAGUUAGAAAUGACUGCUAAUACCGCAUAAGCGCACGGGAUCGCAUGGUCUAGUGUGAAAAACUCCGGUGGUGUGAGAUGGAUCCGCGUCUGAUUAGCCAGUUGCGGGUAACGGCCCACCAAAGCGACGAUCAGUAGCCGGCCUGAGAGGGUGAACGGCCACAUUGGGACCGAGACACGGCCCAAACUCCUACGGGAGGCAGCAGUGGGGGAUAUUGCACAAUGGGGGAAACCCUGAUGCAGCGACGCCCGCGUGAGUGAAGAAGUAUUUCGGUAUGUAAAGCUCUAUCAGCAGGGAAGAUAAUGACGGUACCUGACUAAGAAGCACCGGCUAAAUACGUGCCAGCAGCUGC